rnacentral:rRNA from 1 species
GACGAACGCUGGCGGCGUGCUUAACACAUGCAAGUCGAACGGAAAGGCCCUGCUUGCAGGGUGCUCGAGUGGCGAACGGGUGAGUAACACGUGGGUGAUCUGCCCCUUACUUUGGGAUAAGCCUGGGAAACUGGGUCUAUACUGGAUAGGACCAUGGUGUAGGUGGUGUGGUGGGAAGGUUUGUUUCGGUAAGGGAUGAGGUCGCGGCCUUUCAGCUUGUUGGUGGGGUAAUGGCCUACCAAGGCGUCGACGGGUAGCCGGCCUGAGAGGGUGGACGGCCACAUUGGGACUGAGAGACGGCCCAGACUCCUACGGGAGGCAGCAGUGGGGAAUAUUGCACAAUGGGCGCAAGCCUGAUGCAGCGACGCCGCGUGGGGGAUGACGGCCUUCGGGUUGUAAACUCCUUUCAGCCAUGACGAAGCCCUUGUGGUGACGGUAGUGGUAGAAGAAGCACCGGCUAACUACGUG